CUGGUCGGCUUGGAAUCAGAAUAGUGUGUCCGGGUAAGGUGACAUGUCUUCAUUCGGAAUGUUACAUUUUGAACUAGCAUGUUAAAAAUCCGGCGAAGGGUGUCGGUCUAGUACAAAUCACGGUUACUAUUCAUAUCACAUUAACAUGUUCUUGUACGAAUAUGCAUAUCAAUUUGCCGCUGGACGUCAAAAAUCCACCCAUAAUCAUCUAUAGUUGAAAC
rnacentral:lncRNA from 1 species